rnacentral:rRNA from 1 species
UACGAAGGGGGCUAGCGUUGUUCGGAAUUACUGGGCGUAAAGCGCACGUAGGCGGAUACUUAAGUCAGGGGUGAAAUCCCGGGGCUCAACCCCGGAACUGCCUUUGAUACUGGGUAUCUCGAGUCCGGAAGAGGUGAGUGGAAUUCCGAGUGUAGAGGUGAAAUUCGUAGAUAUUCGGAGGAACACCAGUGGCGAAGGCGGCUCACUGGUCCGGUACUGACGCUGAGGCACGAAAGCCAGGGGAGCAAACGGG